rnacentral:rRNA from 1 species
UAGGGAAUAUUGGUAAAUGGGCGAAAGCCUGAACCAGCAACGCCGCGUGUGCGAUGAAGGCCUUCGGGUUGUAAAGCACUUUUAACCGGGAAGAGGAAGGACGGUACCGGUGGAAUAAGCCUCGGCUAACUACGUGCCAGCAGCCGCGGUAAAACGUAGGAGGCGAGCGUUAUCCGGAUUUACUGGGUGUAAAGCGCGAGCAGGCGGCUCGUUAAGUUGGGUGUAAAAGCUCCCGGCUCAACUGGGAGAGGUCGCUCAAGACUGGCGGGCUAGAGGGUGGUAGAGGAAGGUGGAAUUCCGGGUGUAGUGGUGAAAUGCGUAGAUAUCCGGAGGAACACCAGUGGCGAAAGCGGCCUUCUGGGCCACACCUGACGCUCAGACGCGAAAGCUAGGGUAGCAAACGGG